GAUGAACGCUGGCGGCGUGCCUAAUACAUGCAAGUCGAGCGAAUGGAUUAAGAGCUUGCUCUUAUGAAGUUAGCGGCGGACGGGUGAGUAACACGUGGGUAACCUGCCCAUAAGACUGGGAUAACUCCGGGAAACCGGGGCUAAUACCGGAUAACAUUUUGAACCGCAUGGUUCGAAAUUGAAAGGCGGCUUCGGCUGUCACUUAUGCAUGGACCCGCGUCGCAUUAGCUAGUUGGUGAGGUAACGGCUCACCAAGGCAACGAUGCGUAGCCGACCUGAGAGGGUGAUCGGCCACACUGGGACUGAGACACGGCCCAGACUCCUACGGGAGGCAGCAGUAGGGAAUCUUCCGCAAUGGACGAAAGUCUGACGGAGCAACGCCGCGUGAGUGAUGAAGGCUUUCGGGUCGUAAAACUCUGUUGUUAGGGAAGAACAAGUGCCAGUUGAAUAAGCUGGCACCUUGACGGUACCUAACCAGAAAGCCACGGCUAACUACGUGCCAGCCGCCGCCGUAA
rnacentral:rRNA from 1 species